GAAUAUUGCGCAAUGGAGGAAACUCUGACGCAGCGACGCCGCGUGAGCGAUGAAGGUCUUCGGAUCGUAAAGCUCUGUCCUUGGGGAAGAAGGUCUUCGGACUUGACGGUACCCAUGGAGGAAGCCCCGGCUAACUACGUGCCAGCAGCCGCGGUAAUACGUAGGGGGCAAGCGUUGUCCGGAAUUAUUGGGCGUAAAGGGCGCGUAGGCGGCCUUUUAAGUCAGAUGUGAAAGCCCACGGCUCAACCGUGGGAUUGCAUUUGAAACUGGAGGGCUUGAGUAUCGGAGAGGGUAGUGGAAUUCCCAGUGUAGCGGUGAAAUGCGUAGAUAUUGGGAGGAACACCAGUGGCGAAGGCGACUACCUGGACGAUUACUGACGCUGAUGCACGAAAGCUAGGGGAGCAAAC
rnacentral:rRNA from 1 species